rnacentral:rRNA from 1 species
AGCAGUAGGGAAUCUUCCGCAAUGGACGAAAGUCUGACGGAGCAACGCCGCGUGAGUGAUGAAGGUUUUCGGAUCGUAAAGCUCUGUUGUUAGGGAAGAACAAGUACCGUUCGAAUAGGGCGGUACCUUGACGGUACCUAACCAGAAAGCCACGGCUAACUACGUGCCAGCAGCCGCGGUAAUACGUAGGUGGCAAGCGUUGUCCGGAAUUAUUGGGCGUAAAGGGCUCGCAGGCGGUUCCUUAAGUCUGAUGUGAAAGCCCCCGGCUCAACCGGGGAGGGUCAUUGGAAACUGGGGAACUUGAGUGCAGAAGAGGAGAGUGGAAUUCCACGUGUAGCGGUGAAAUGCGUAGAGAUGUGGAGGAACACCAGUGGCGAAGGCGACUCUCUGGUCUGUAACUGACGCUGAGGAGCGAAAGCGUGGGGAGCGAACAGGAUUAGAU